rnacentral:lncRNA from 1 species
CCUCCCAUAUCCCACAGUUUAUAAAUUUUAUAACAAUAUAUUAGCAAAACUGCAUGGUAGCACGCAUGGUGCAUGCUAGGGGGGAAAGCUGGGGUGAUCACCAAUCUUGAUGACCAGGUGAAAAAAUGUGUGGAGAGUAACAUGUAGGUACACUUGCCUCAGAGUUAAGAAAGGAUCAAGAAUCACAGCUCUUGGGGUCAGAACAUAAGAGACUCUGCUGCUAGAUGGAUAGUUUAAAGUUCCCAGCUUUAAGAUAUAUGCUGUUGCCUGUUCAAGAAAAACGUUCUUCUAAAAUAGCAAAGUGAUGGACAAGCACUUCUGUAUGCUAGGCAAAAUUAAGAUUAUAGCUAAGGAAGCAUGUGGAAGUGCUAUGCUUGGACAACAUUAAUGGGAGUCUUCAUGCUGCACAGAUUCCAGUUCUGAACCUCCAUGGGGU